rnacentral:rRNA from 1 species
UGCAGCCGAGCGGUAUGGAUAGCUUGCUAUCCAGAGAGCGGCGUACGGGUGCGUAACACGUGUGCAACCUGCCUUUAUCUGGGGGAUAGCCUUUCGAAAGGAAGAUUAAUACCCCAUAAUAUGGUGUCCGGCAUCGGUCGCCAUUGAAAGCCUCGGCGGAUAGAGAUGGGCACGCGCAAGAUUAGAUAGUUGGCGGGGUAACGGCCCACCAAGUCGAUGAUCUUUAGGGGUCCUGAGAGGGAGAUCCCCCACACUGGUACUGAGACACGGACCAGACUCCUACGGGAGGCAGCAGUGAGGAAUAUUGGACAAUGGGUGGAAGCCUGAUCCAGCCAUCCCGCGUGAAGGAUGACGGUUCUAUGGAUUGUAAACUUCUUUUGUACAGGGAUAAACCUGCCCUCGUGAGGGCAGCUGAAGGUACUGUACGAAUAAGCACCGGCUAACUCCGUGCCAGCAGCCGCGGUAAUACGGAGGGUGCGAGCGUUAUCCGGAUUUAUUGGGUUUAAAGGGUCCGUAGGCGGGCCUGUAAGUCAGUGGUGAAAUCUCAUAGCUUAACUAUGAAACUGCCAUUGAUACUGCAGGCCUUGAGUAAAUUUGAAGUGGCUGGAAUAAGUAGUGUAGCGGUGAAAUGCAUAGAUAUUACUUAGAACACCGAUUGCGAAGGCAGGUCACUAAGAUUUAACUGACGCUGAUGGACGAAAGCGUGGGGAGCGAACAGGAUUAGAUACCCUGGUAGUCCACGCCGUAAACGAUGCUAACUCGUUUUUGGAUCUUCGGGUUCAGAGACCAAGCGAAAGUGAUAAGUUAGCCACCUGGGGAGUACGUCCGCAAGGAUGAAACUCAAAGGAAUUGACGGGGGCCCGCACAAGCGGUGGAUUAUGUGGUUUAAUUCGAUGAUACGCGAGGAACCUUACCAAGACUUAAAUGGGAAUUGACAGAUUUAGAAAUAGAUCCUCCUUCGGGCAAUUUUCAAGGUGCUGCAUGGUUGUCGUCAGCUCGUGCCGUGAGGUGUUAGGUUAAGUCCUGCAACGAGCGCAACCCCUGCCAACAGUUGCCAUCAUUCAGUUGGGGACUCUGUUGGGACUGCCUACGCAAGUAGAGAGGAAGGUGGGGAUGACGUCAAAUCAUCACGGCCCUUACGUCUUGGGCCACACACGUAAUACAAUGGCCGGUACAGAGGGCAGCUACCUGGUGACAGGAUGCGAAUCUCGAAAGCCGGUCUCAGUUCGGAUUGGAGUCUGCAACUCGACUCUAUGAAGCUGGAAUCGCUAGUAAUCGCGCAUCAGCCAUGGCGCGGUGAAUACGUUCCCGGGCCUUGUACACACCGCCCGUCAAGCCAUGGAAGUCUGGGGUACC